AACGAACGCUGGCGGCAGGCCUAACACAUGCAAGUCGAACGCCCCGCAAGGGGAGGUGGCAGACGGGUGAGUAACGCGUGGGAACGUACCCUUCGGUUCGGGAAUAACCCGGGGAAACCUACGGGCUAAUACCGGAUACGUCCGCAAGGAGAAAGAUUUAUCGCCGAAGGAUCGGCCCGCGUCGGAUUAGCUAGUUGGUGGGGGUAAUGGCCCACCAAGGCGACGAUCCGUAGCUGGUCUGAGAGGAUGANCAGCCACACUGGGACU
rnacentral:rRNA from 1 species